rnacentral:lncRNA from 1 species
GGUCAUUACUGAUGAUCAAAGUUAUUGCUGUACAAUCCUCUCAAUUUUGAUUUUAGGCAAUGCUAAUUUGUAUCUGUUGCUUGGAUUUGUGUUUGGGGGUACCCCUGGCGAUGUGAUUUUAGCUGUGGACUUGCAGAAAGCUUCUCAAAAAUGAUGUUGUUAGUUGUGUGCUCUGUGAACAUUUAUAGUGUAUUAGUGAUGGGCACCAAGUUUGACUACAGCAUGGACUAAUGUUCAUUUUUGGAUUCUUCUGGAAUUAUUGAAUUCAUCUUUCGUAACGAUGUCUGCCGCAAAAUUGUAUGCAACAUCAUCUUUAUACUGAACUUUCCGUUCGUGCCUAAAUGACAUGGGGAAAUGCUCCAUCUCUUUGGAUCUCAUGAAAAAGAAAAUUAUGUUCUCCCAUUAUUUGUCCAUCUUUUCCCCAGCAUGAUUUCCGUGUGAACUACUGAAUUCACUGGUCAGUAUUUGGCAUUAUGAACCAAGAUUCCUCCAAAACUUAAACUGAAAAUUUAUGCUUGUGAUGAUUUAAAAUUGCAGACAUCUCAUUUUCAAAAAAAUAAAUAUAAAAAAUCAUUUUCAAAAAAUAAAAUUGCAGACAUCUCAAAUCAUAUGUGCAGAUCAACAUCCGGAGCCUAGCUUAUGGUGUCUUCUAAUUCAUGCUUGUACACAAUAUUUUCUGGACACAUCUCUUUGAGCAAAUUCUUGUAUACGCCCAUGCCUCUG